rnacentral:rRNA from 1 species
UACGUAGGGUGCAAGCGUUGUCCGGAAUUAUUGGGCGUAAAGAGCUCGUAGGCGGUCUGUCGCGUCGGCUGUGAAAACUCGGGGUUCAACUCCGAGCUUGCAGUCGAUACGGGCAGGCUAGAGUUCGGCAGGGGAGACUGGAAUUCCUGGUGUAGCGGUGAAAUGCGCAGAUAUCAGGAGGAACACCGGUGGCGAAGGCGGGUCUCUGGGCCGAUACUGACGCUGAGGAGCGAAAGCGUGGGGAGCGAACAGG